GAAAGCGCCGUACGAAUAAAUCAGUUCUUCUCAAACUCAUAAACCCUAAAAUCCCAUACGAACUUCCGCUCCCAUUAAUUUCAUCCUCUCAAACUCUCAAUCCCUAAAAUCCCAAAUCGAGCUUCUUCGACGUUACUGCCUUUGUCAUCGAGAGGGAAAAUCACAAUUCUAAAAUCCAAGUUCAUAAUUCCAGAAUCAUCACCUCAACUUGCCACCACAGCCACAACCAGCUAGGAGUUACUUGUGAAGAGUGAAGUUCAGAUCGUUUCUAAGAAUCUUAUAGUGUGUGGUUCCAGAAGCUGUUGACUUUCUCUAUAGACUCCAACAAAAUCCAAAGCAAAAGAUAAGGGGAUUCCGCGGAAAAUCGAGUCAGUUGCAACAAUAAAAGAGUUUUCCGAGCACAAAGAGGUAAUCAAGUACUAAAGAGUAAAUCCAACAACAUUACAUGGAUUAUAAUGGAGUGUCCUGGGCCGCGUAAUGAAAUAGAUUGCGGUUUUUACAUGUUGAAGUUUAUGAAAGAAAUUCUUCUUAUGGAUCGAAUAGAGAUUCCAUCCAAGUACUUUGAUGAAUUCAAGCAUGCUUAUUACUCAAGUUCUCAAUUGGAUGAACUUUAGGAGGAUUGGUGUAAAUUCAUGAUUGAGUCGAAAGUUAUAUAAGGUUAUAUGUGCAGAUGUAGAAGAUAGAGAUGAAUAGAUUUUGUAAUGGUAUAAUGGUGCAAAAAAAAUGUGGCAUAUCUUUUGGUGUUGUUUUUUUGUAAAAGUAUAUGUACAAGAGUAAUAGUAUAUAUAAGUACAUUGGUGCAAUUGUAUAUGGUA